rnacentral:lncRNA from 1 species
GGUUGGUGGUUUUUUUCCUUUCAUCAUGUUAAAUAUAUCAUGCCACUCCCUUCUGACCUGUAGUUUCUGCUGAAAAAUCUGCUGAUAACCUUAUCGGGGUUCCCUUUUAUGUUACUUGUUUCUUUGCCCUAGCUGCUUUCAAUAUUUUCUUUUCGUCUUUAAUAUUGGUCAGUUUGAUUAAUAUGUGUCUUGGGGUAUUUCUCCCUGGGUUUAUUUUGUACGGUACUUGUUGUGCUUCCUGGAUUUAAUUGGGUUGUUCCUUUCCCAUGUUAGGGAAGUUUUUGGCUAUUAUCUCUUGAAUAUUUUUUCUGUUCCUUUCUUUCUUCUCCUUCUGGCAUUCCUAUAAUAUGGAUGUUGGUGUGCUUAAUGUUGUCCCAGAGUUCUCUGAGACUCUCUUCUUUUUUUUUUUUUUAAUUUUUAAAAAAUUUUUAUUUAUUUAUUUAUUUUUGUCUUUUUGUCUUUUGUUGUUGUUGUUGUUGUUGCUAUUUCUUGGGCCGCUCCUGCGGCAUAUGGAGGUUCCCAGGCUAGGGGUUGAAUCGGAGCUGUAGCCACCAGCCUACGCCAGAGCCACAGCAACGCGGGAUCUGAGCCAUGUCUGCAACCUACACCACAGCUCACGGCAACGCCGGAUCGUUAACCCACUGAGCAAGGGCAGGGACCGAACCCGCAACCUCAUGGUUCCUAGUCGGAUUCAUUAACCACUGCGCCACGAAGGGAACUCCUCUUCAUUUCUUUUCAAUCUUUUUUCUCUGUUCUGUUCCACAUCAGUGAUUUCCACUAGUUUGUCCUCCACCUCGCUUACCUAUUCUUCUGCCUCCCGUAUUCUGCUGUUGGUUGCUUCUAAUGAAUUCUUUAUUUCAGUUAUUGUAUUUUACAUCUCUGCUUGCUUCAGAUUUAAGUCUUGUAUUUCUUUGCUCAGUGUUUGCUGUAAAUUAUCCGUCUUUGCCUCCCUCCAGUUUAUUCCCAAUGUCUUGCAUCAUCUUCAGCAUCAACAGUCUAAAGUCUUUUUCCUGGAAGCUGAUAAUCUCCACAUCACUUAGCUGUUUCUUCUGGGGUUUUUUCUUUCUCCCUUAUCUGAGUUAUGGUUCUCUGUCUUUUCAUUUUUAUGGGUUUUUGCUGUGGUGUCCUUUUUGCAGACAAUAGCGUUGUAGCCUGACUUACUAGUUAUGUCUGUCCUCGUUGUGGCUGAAGUUGGUACAGGGGAUUGCCAUAGGCUUCCUGGUAGGAGGGACUGGUUUCUGCCCACUGGUAGGUGGGGCUGAUUCCUAUCCCUCUGGUGGGUAGGGUUUUGUCUCUGGGUGAGAUUAGAGGCAGCUGUGUGCCUGGGGGUCUUUAGGGAGCGAGUGUUUACUGAUGGGUGGGGCUGUGAUCCCACCUGGGUUACUGUUUGGCCUGGGGCUUUUCAGUGCUGAUGGGUGGGGCCAGAUUUUUCCAAAAUGGCCACCUCCAGAGAAACACAUGCUGAUGAAUAUUCCUGAGAGCUCUUCCUCCAAUGUCCUUCCCCUACAACAAGCCACAGUCACCCCGUUUUCCAAGGAGAUCCUUCAAGAACUGCAGUCAGGUCUGACCCAGAUUCCUGUGGAGCCUUUGCUUUGCCCUGGGACCCAGUGCACAUGAAAGUCUGUGUGUGCCUUUCAAGAAUGGAGUCUCUGGCUCUUGAUUUGGCCUCCUUUUUGUCUUCUGGAGAAGGAUAUCUUUUUGAAAGUUUCCUGUCCAUUUGGUUGAAGGUUGUUCAGCAUUUGGUUGUAAUUUUGUUGUUUUUAUGAGAGAAGUUGAGCUCUAGUCCAUCUAUUCCUCCAUCUUAAUCCCGUCUCCAAGAAACAGUAUUUUAUAUUUACUUAUAAGUAAGUGGUAAUAGCUUUACCAUUUGCACACUUCUGCGUGUAUAAUUUUUUUUUUUUUCAGAAUCGCUUUAGGAUCAAUUAUGAUUCUUCAUCUCUGAAUGCUUCAGUGAAGUAUAGGGAUAUUCUUUUACAUAACCGCAGUAUAGCUGUCAACUUCUACAUUGAUUUACAUUGAUUCAAUUUAUUAUUCAGAAUUCCUUUUUUUUCCAGUUCAUCUGACAGCGAAUCUUUUAGCAUUUUCCUUCACCAGUAUAGGGUCCAGUUAAGGUUAGAUAAUACACGUGGUUGUCGUACGUUUUUGACUAACAUGGAUCCUCUCCUGCACACAACGUGAGGGACAUUGUAGGCACAUCCCCUAUAGUGUUCCUUGUGUUGUGUUUGACAUUUUCUUGUGAUUAGUUUGACCUAGAAUAUGGCCUGGCAGUUGAUGUGUCCUCUGAUUGUCACAUCUGGAGGCCCAUGAUGAGUUUUUGUCCUUCAUAGGUGGUGUCAGUUUUGAUUACCUUGUCAGAGGGCAAGCUGUGGUCCAAUUUUUAGAUUGUAUAGUAAUGGUUAUAUUUUUCUUCCUUUGUAAUUAAUAGGUAGGUACUGGUAAGGCCAUGUAAAUGUCCAGCUCCUUAUCAAGAAUUUCUUCUGUAUGUCCUCUCCAUUGUUGAUUCUUGCCUACUGUAUUCUUCACCACUGCAAAAUGAUGGUUUUCCCAUCUAGCCCUCCCUACACACUGACCAGAUGUGGUUCCCUUCCCUCACACCUCCCUCCCUUCCUCCUUUCCCUCAUACCUUCCUUCCUUUCUUGUUGGCUAUGGAUCGUAAUUGCAUUUUAAAAAGACUUAUAACUCAUCGUUGUACUUAAUUAUUUUGGUGUUCAAAUUGUCCUAGAUUUGAACAGUGGGAGCCACUUUGGGUAGCUCUGUGUCCUUUUGUCAUGCCCCUAGCAUUUUUUAAACUCCUCCUUACUUUCUGGCCUAACAAGGUGUUCCAGGCUCAUCCUUUGCCUCCUCUUUCCCAGCUCUGAAAUUAGCCAUCUUCAUGAGGAGCCCUAUUCCUUUUAGUGGCGAAUGGUAUUAGAGACCAAGGUCUGGGAUGGCUUGCUUUCUUAAUUCUUUCAACAGACAAAUAGGACAUUUUGAACUCUAUUCUAUAUGCAUUAGGAAGUUGAUAGAAUUUUAUUAAGCAGUGAAAUAUAUUUGGUAUGUAGGAGAGCUAAAAUUCUCCUCUGCCCUCUUUGGGUCUGUGGUACCGCUUAAGAAUUAGAUUUAAGACAUGGGAGUUCCCGUAGUGGCUCAGCAGAAACAAAUCUCGAUAGUAUCCAUGUGGACCCAGGUUUGAUCCCUGGCUUCACUCAGUAGGUUAAGGAUCUGGCAUUGGUAUGAGCUGUGGUGUAGGUCACAGACGAUGUUCGAAUCUGGUGUUGCUCUGCUGGCCUACACCACAGCCACAUCAACACUAGAUCCCAGCUGCUUCUGCAACCUACACCACAGCUCAUGGCAGUGCUGGCUCCAUAACCCACUGAGCGAGGCCUAGGAUCAAACCUACAUCAUCAUGGAUACUAGACUCUUUCAUUACUGCUGAACCACAAUGGGAACUCUGGUUACACCUCUAAGUUUGAUACAAUUAUUACUCAUUUAUUGAUGCAAAAUUAUUUAUUUAUUUAUUUACUUAUUUAUUUUUGGCUUUUUAGGGCCACACUCUUGGCAUAUGGAAGUUCCCAGGCUAGGGGUAGAAUUGGAGCUGCAACUGCCGGCCUACACCACAGCUAUAGCAACUUGGGAUCCAAGCUGUGUCUGCAACCUGCACCACCUACACUACAGCUCAUGGCACCACUGGAUCCUUCACCCAUUGAGCAAGGCCAGGGAUUGAACCUGCAUCUACAUGGAUACUGGUUGGAUUCAUUUCCACUUCGCCACAAUGGGAACUCCAUUGAUGCGAAUUUUAAAAAGUGGAAUUUUUUUCACACUGUAGAUUUAUUUUUAGUGUGUCAAUAAAAAAGAGACUAAGGUACCAAAGAACUGGGGCUAGAACUGUUUUCUUAUACUGAUGGUCUUUUGCUUGAGUUAGAGAGAUAGUAUAAGUGGUUCAGAACCUGAGAACUUGGGAGCCAGACUGUGUGGGGUGGCAUCUGCACCCCAUUUACUAGCUAGGUAGCUUUGGGUAAGUUACUUGACUUCUCUGUGUCUCAUUAAAAUGAUAAUAACAUUUGUACAUUUCUUAGAGCGUUGUCGUGACAGUGAAAUGAAUUUAUGUACAUAAAGGUCCCUAUGAUAGUAUCUGCCACAUAGUAAAUCCUCUGUAAAUGUUAAUUGCUGCUAAUGUUGGUUUUUUUGUUAUUAGUACAUAUUCUAGAUUUCUUCAAGGAAUGCUUUUCUUAUCACUCGUUUUAUUUAUUUAUUUAUUUAUUUUAUUUUUUGGCUGUGGCAUGCAGCAGCUUGAUGUGGGAUCUCAGUUCCCAGACCAGGGAUUGAACCCAGGUUGCAGUGUGCAGCAGUGUAAGCACCAAGUCCUAACCACUAGGCCACCAGGGAACGCCAUUAUUUCUUUUUUUAAAAAAACUUCAUGAGUGUGUGUCUCUGUGUAGACAGUCAUUCAUCGUACUGUUGAACAUUAAUUCUGUGCUAAUUACUGUGCUGGGCUGGGGGAUAAAGAGCUCUUGUGGGGUUUUAAUGGGGAGACAUACUUAAAUUAUUAUAAAGCAUUGUAAUAAGUGCUAAUAGAUACACUGAGGAAGAGUGUGAGCACAAAAGAAAAAGUAACUAAUUCUGUGGUAAGAGGUGAGGAAGAGAGAGAGUGGAGAUUGUCAAAGCCCUCACAGAAGCUGGAGUGACUCAGGCAAGGAGGAGUAAGGGAGAGAAGGCAUUUUCAGAGAUAGGGACCAGGCAAAUGCAAGAGCAUGAAGCAGCCUAGCAUAGCAUAGGGGAAUUUUAUUUCCGCAUGUGGAUAGGGGUAGUUAGAAGAGAUGAGACUGGAAAGGAUUUUGGACUUUGUAUAGAAGACACCAUGGAGAGUUUUAAAUGGUUGUAUUUGUAAUAAGGAAAACCCUCCAAAAAUAUUUUCCCCAGAUAGUCUUCAGAAAAAAUAAAUCUGGUGAGUCUGUCUUCUGUCUAAAAUCUUUUGAUGACUGCUCAGUGCCUGUGGGGAUGGCCAGACUCUGCCUUGGCAUGCAAAGCCCAUACUGCUCCGGUUUCUUCACACCAUUUCAGUCUCAUCUCCACAUACUUGCUUACAUACACUGACCUUGCCACCCUCCCUAAUUGCAUUUUUCAUCAAUUUUCAUGUUCUUUUAUCCCUUCAUUACUCUGUAGAAUGAAUUCUGCUCAGGGUGUCCUACCAUCAUCACCCGUCCCCAUUGCACAGUUUAGGAGUUACUUGCUUGCUUUUUUCCCGUCUUCCAAAGCAUCCCAUGCUAAUAAAGAAAAUGGGCUUUUGAAUUGGACCAUCAUUUAAACCUUGGACUCCUCUACUCGUGAAGGGGAGAUCUUGUACAAAAUUUAAAGCUCUGUGACACUCUUCUGUUUUAUGUAAAUCGAGUGCACAAUGUACAGAUAAAUUACGUUGCCGUAGAAGGAUUACAUGAAAUACUGUGCUUGAAGCCUUCACCACAGUACCAGCAUUCGUUUGGUAUGUAGUAGCUAUCUCAUUACAGAUCCCUGCAGAAUUUAUUUACAUUGUUUUUGUGAUUUGUUUACCUGACUUCUCCCCAGCUGGACUGAGCUCCCUUAGGGUGGAGAUUUUGUUUCAUUUCUUAGUGUGUAGGGCGUACAUGAAUGUUGAUGCUUGGUAUGUGUUCAGUAAUAUGUGUUGACUGCUUGGUGGCUGUAUAGAGAGGAUGGCUCCAUAAAGGGAGAGACUAACUAGAAAGUAAUAACUUUUUAGUUCCUGAAGUUGUUGAACAUUACAAUCAUUUGAAAUCCUUAAAAAGAAAAAAAUAAAAAA